rnacentral:rRNA from 1 species
GAUGAACGCUGGCGGCGUGCUUAACACAUGCAAGUCGAACGAUGAAGCUCAGCUUGCUGGGUGGAUUAGUGGCGAACGGGUGAGUAACACGUGAGUAACCUGCCCUUAACUCUGGGAUAAGCCUGGGAAACUAGGUCUAAUACCGGAUAGGAGCGCCUACCGCAUGGUGGGUGUUGGAAAGAUUUAUCGGUUUUGGAUGGACUCGCGGCCUAUCAGCUUGUUGGUGAGGUAAUGGCUCACCAAGGCGACGACGGGUAGCCGGCCUGAGAGGGUGACCGGCCACACUGGGACUGAGAGAAGGCCCAGACUCCUACGGGAGGCAGCAGUGGGGAAUAUUGCACAAUGGGCGAAAGCCUGAUGCAGCGACGCCGCGUGAGGGAUGACGGCCUUCGGGUUGUAAACCUCUUUCAGUAGGGAAGAAGCGAAAGUGACGGUACCUGCAGAAGAAGCACCGGCUAACUACGUG